GAGCAAGCCCAUUAGCAGUUAGAAUAGAGUGUCGCAAGCACUCUAUUCUAACCGCACAGGCGCACCGGAGCGUCCUGAAGUUCUCAGAGGCCGCUGAGCCAGACAGUCAGGCUCAGUGGCCACUCCUACUUCACCCUCUGCCGCCACUGCCAUGUGGGGGGCGGGGGGGGAGGCCUGCUCACUUCACACAUACCUUGGCCACAGACAUGGCGGCUAGAAUAUCGGUGGUUUGGCCUCGUGGCUGCAGGAGGAAAAGCUCGCAGCAGUAGCAGGAGCCGCCCCCCCCCCCCGGGCCUUUGAAGGCCCCCAUGGUAAAAGAGAACACAUUAAAGAAAGACAGGGGGAAGGCAGACUUCACUGACAUGCCUGUCUGACUUAGACCACAGAAGGCAAGAAGCAACUUAUUUAAAAGAAAUGUUUCCUGUGGAAGCUGCAGGCAAAUCCACUUGGUCCAUUCUGUGCUUCUGACUGCCAUAGCAUCUGGCACAAAACUAUGUCACUAAAGUGUCUGGAAUAGACUGCUGGUUCUGGAAGAUUUGUACAACAAUGCUGAGAGAGGAAAUGGAAGGAAUAUCCGGACAAACUAAUUCGAUAUUAAACAGGCCCCAAUGUUAUGAAAAGGGGAUAAUGCAAAAUUAGGUGCAUGGGAAAAGGACAACAACCAGAAGAUGGAAACCAUAGCAUGGGAGGCAAAACCUCAACAGUUUUAUAGAAUGAAAAUAAUAAAAAGCCAAAUGCAGUCUGAUGAAAAUCUUCAUUGGGUGGAAUUGUAUACAUAUUUUCUUUAAUCAGAGUUCUUUGGGCAAUGAUUUGUCAUUUGGCAGAAGGGGACUUGCAUACAAAUUUACCCAGCAGGAUCAGAUCAAGAUUUUGACUCGUUGCACCUUCUUUUGCAUUUGCAAAAGGAUUUGCCUAGCAAGAUGCUUUCAGUGAACCCCCUGAGAAGAACAUGGAUGCAGCAGCAGCACUUUCUAGGCUCACAGUGUCAAAUGUACUUGUCCCUAAAUAUGUUCCACUGGCUAAUGUGUUGUGUUGGUAAGGAAAAUUGUUUUAUCACAUUACAGUUGAAACACAUCUCUACAGACACUUCCAUAUAGAGCUUCCUUUGACUUUCUACAUCCAAGACCCACAAGUCACGUCAUCCACCCUGACUUCUCAUCAGUUCACAUGACAGAUGCAGAAAUGUUCUGGCUGUGAGAUCUGUAUAAAGCAAGAAAGGAAACUGCAUGCAGCAACCUUGAACUAGAAUGCACUUUGUUUUGGAAACAUUGCUUCAAACUUAUUGUACACUAUAAAUUGGGAAUGUGAAAAAUACCCUCCAGUGCAAAUGCCCAUAUUUUAACAGUUGUUCCUAUUUCAGAACAAGAAAGUCCCCUCAAAUACGUUGAUACUUCUCAUUCCAGAGUAUCCUGCCCCCAUAGAAUGCUAUUUCAAAUUUUAAUAAAUAUACCUAAGUCCAAAACAUCAUAAUGACACAUAUUUCUAUUGAAUUCCACAGAAUAAUCGCUAGAACCUGAUCUUAUUCCUCUUUGAAAUGGUUUUCUCUUCUAAUAUUUUGAGCUCUUCUACCAUCUUCUUUAAAGCACAUACUUAAACUUUAUGAAUUAAAUCCUUUUUGCAAAA